AAAAAUGCUGUGAAGCGGAAAAGUACUUAAUGUUAGCAAUCUUACAGAGAGUGGCGGUUGGUGAAAAGCCAUAGAGAGCAGUUAAGGAAAAUCACCGCGGAGCUGAUAGCUGAAGCUAUGUUAAUCAUAGUUGUAAGUGAAUCCGUUGGCCUACGUUACAGGAUAGAGUAUGAAUCAUAGCUUGCUUUUCGCAGGGUAUGAAUAGUACUUGAAUUUUGUACUUUAGAGGUGGUAUUACGAAUAUAACUUCGUCCUGUAG
rnacentral:ncRNA from 1 species